UAGCGAAGGGGGCUAGCGUUGUUCGGAAUUACUGGGGCGUAAAGCGCACGUAGGCGGAUAUUUAAGUCAGGGGUGAAAUCCCAGAGCUCAACUCUGGAACUGCCUUUGAUACUGGGUAUCUUGAGUAUGGAAGAGGUAAGUGGAAUUGCGAGUGUAGAGGUGAAAUUCGUAGAUAUUCGCAGGAACACCAGUGGCGGAAGGCGGCUUACUGGUCCUAAC
rnacentral:rRNA from 1 species